rnacentral:rRNA from 1 species
UACAGAGGUGGCAAGCGUUGUUCGGAAUUACUGGGCGUAAAGGGCGCGUAGGCGGCAGAUCAAGUCAGCUGUGAAAUCUCCGAGCUUAACUCGGAACUGUCAGCUGAUACUGUUUUGCUAGAGUGCGGAAGGGGCAAUCGGAAUUCUUGGUGUAGCGGUGAAAUGCGUAGAUAUCUGGAGGAACACCGGUGGCGAAGGCGGCAUCCUGGACCGGUAUUGACGCUGAGGCGCGAAAGCUAGGGGAGCAAACGGG